rnacentral:rRNA from 1 species
UACGAAGGGGGCUAGCGUUGUUCGGAAUUACUGGGCGUAAAGCGCGCGCAGGCGGUCUUCCAAGUCAGUGGUGAAAGCCCGGAGCUCAACUCCGGAAUUGCCAUUGAAACUGUUGGACUUGAGGACGAGAGAGGUGAGUGGAAUUCCCAGUGUAGAGGUGAAAUUCGUAGAUAUUGGGAAGAACACCAGUGGCGAAGGCGGCUCACUGGCUCGUAUCUGACGCUCAGGCGCGAUAGCGUGGGGAUCAAACAGG